rnacentral:misc_RNA from 1 species
UUAUGGUUUACUCUGGUUGUUUACUUUAAAUAGGUUAUCUCUGAGGUUAUGUUUUAUGUUCAAUAUUCAGUGUUAAGGUCAGUAAUUAUCUCUGAUUCAGUUCACCAAAUAGUUAAAUAGCGAUUGUUAUGUGUUUCUGGCUGUUAUUAAUCUGAAAGAGAAAUAUUAGUAGUAAUAGAUUUUGUUUGUUAUAUUUUCAAGAUGAAUAGCGGAAUCCUUACCCUUCAAAAAAUAUUAAAAAUAGGCACUCUCCAAUACGACGCGGGGGCUUCAAAGAGAACGGUAGUUUAUAUAGAAAUGGAAUUUUGGGAGCAUAUGUAGAUAGUGAAGAUAUCACGUUGAAACUAACGUGUUUGCGAUGCAAAAAGUAUCUUUCAGUGAUCCCGACAUAUACACACUCAACACUUGGCU